rnacentral:rRNA from 1 species
GAUAAACGCUGGCGGCGCACCUAAGACAUGCAAGUCGAACGGACUUAAUCGAAAUAUUUCUAUUUUGAGGCGGUUAGUGGCGGACUGGUGCGUAACGCGUACGGAACCUGCCUAUUAGAGGGGCAUAACAGUGAGAAAUCAUUGCUAAUACCGCAUAUGCCAUAGAUAUCACAUGAUAACAGUGGGAAAGGAGCAAUCCGCUAAUAGAUGGCCUUGCGUCUGAUUAGAUAGUUGGUGGCGUAACGGCCUACCAAGACGACGAUCAGUAGCCGGGCAGCGAGGUUGAGCGGCCACAUUGUGAGGGAGAUACGGGCCAGGAAUCUUCGGGAGGGAGCAGACGCGAAUAUUACGCAAGGGAGGUAUCUCAGACGCAGUGACGGCUCGUAUAGGAAGAAGGGUUGCGGAGUGUAAACUUAUGUCGAUAGGGAAGUGAAAGGACAGUACCUAAAGAGGAAGCUCCGGCUAACUACGUG